UGGAAGAACAAAAUGUUAACUAGGCCUCCUCCUCAUGCGUCGAUGGAGAUCGACUAUUAGUUUUGUCCUCCCUUUUUGGCAUGUUUGGUACAUUGAAAACAGAUAUGUUUUCUUUUCUAGGUUCAAAGUGAUCAUUUCGAGGAGUUUUUCGCCCUUGAAUUAGACAAACAUGGUUAUGAAGCUUUAUACAAGAAAAAAACGAUCGAGGUUUAUGGUGGGAAUAUCAAUACAAUAGAUGGUUGUGCUACAUUUUUUCACAAAGACAGGUUUUCUAAUGAAAAAAAAUACGAGGUUGAAUUUAAGAAAGUAGCAGGUCCUUAAUAGAAGCAUUGGUUCCAAGCACCUAGAAGAAAGCUGCUUUAAAUCGAUUAAUUAAGAUUGAGAAGCUUCGUGACGAAGAACUGCAGCCUCAAAUUCUUGAGCUUUUAAAAGGAUUUAACGAACCCCCAAAAAAAAAAAAAAAAGCAA